rnacentral:misc_RNA from 1 species
AAAGUUAAUUGGUUAUACUCCGGUAUAAAUCUAAUUAAACACCUCUGAGUACCUUACCUGUUGCUUCCGUGAGGCCUGACUCCAGCAGUGGUUCGCCACCGCUGGAUACUUGCGGAAGGUAUACACUUAAACACUUUGAAUCUAUGUCAUCUGUCUGAUAAUGUUUAUAACAAACGUUA